AGAGUGGCGAUUUGACAAGAGAUCUUAUCUACACAGACCUACACCAAAAAAUCUGUCCUUGCCCCCUCCAGUGGUUCCUGAAAGUGUGGUGUGUUUUAAGAAAUAUCAAUAAUUCAAUAGUUACAUAUUACUUUUGCCCUUUGCUUCUUACUAAUUUGAAAAAAAAACAUGCUGUAUUUUCCGUUUUCAAAGUGACAUUUAUAAUGCUUUUCUGCAUAUAGGCUGUUGGGUUACUCUAGCUUCUAUUAACAUCUCGUUUUAUAUUGUCAUUUGGUGGUUAUUAACUGAGAAAACUAAGGAUAAAAUUGGUAAAUUGUUGGCAUAUUGUGCUAAACAAUGUUCUUGCCUUCCAUCUCACCAACCUUCAACUGAAAAUCUGAGUGAAUUUUCAAUCUCGUCUCUGUUAAUAUCUUAGUGGGGAGGUAAAUGGUUGCAGAAUUUAUCUUUCCAUUGUUUACUCUUGUAAAAGUUUUGAACUUUGUAACUUGUUGAUUUGUCCUUUAUCUUCCCUCAAGGCAAUCACUUUCUGAGCCUUGUCGAUCGUUUCUUUCUCAUCCCAUGGAAUGGCAAUGACAAUUUUCCCCUUAUCAUAUCUGCAGUUAACCCUUGUAAAGAUGGUGAAUGAAGCUACAGCCAACAUCCCCAAUUGGGAAAUGGAGUGGAUAUCAGUGCAGUCCAGGUGGUCAAACCCAUAAAACUUUGUUUUUGGGAUGGGUGAAAUUUUGAUCCAUAGCCAUUUAGAAAUAUCACUGUUUAGAAACCUCAGGUUAAUUAUAUCAAAUUAAGGGAUAGAGUAAUAUAGGUGUAAAUUAAGGAAGUUCUUUUAUAU
rnacentral:misc_RNA from 1 species